AGGGAGGGGGCCGGGCAGCAGCCAUGACACACACACACCAACUCCCCCGGGGAGGGAAGGGGGCGAACAGAAACCAUUAUACACACACACACCCCCGUCAAAGCCCCGGAAACGCGGGGCGGGGCCCCAUUACUCCCCACAGUAGGGACAAGACGCCGCCAUAUCCAUGAAGAAGGGGGGGGCCCCCAAUGGGCGGAGCUUCCCCUACCCUUUCACAGGUUUUAUCUUAAUCAGACAUGAAUCACACUUUGUGCGUAGGCAGUUUUACACUGUAACAGUUUAUGGAGCCAGGUUGGCACUGCAGAUCAUAUUGUCCAUGAAGUUUUGUACUCAGCGAAGAAAUACAAUAGGGGAGUAGUGAGCUACAACAUCCAUAUGACAGCAGGAUGAUCCUAGUAACAGAAGCAAAAAACCUUUGGGUUUCAACCCACAGCUGUGUGAAAGUGAGAUUCUGCCCAGUUCUUUGCUGGGACCAGAGGGGUGAGGAAGGGUGCUCCUCUCUGGCCACAGACGAUCAACAGGCUGCAUUUACUGGACCUGGGAACAAGAGGACCUGAGAACUCUAAUCCUAAGACUUGACCAGAGGGCCGAGCCAUUGAAGACCUACCAAGCACCGUCAACAACCUACAGGGGGCACAGGAGCAGGAAAAGUCCUUCAGUACCAGAUGCAACAGCAGGAGGUGCUCAAGAGAGCCUGCCUCCAAGACCUGAGCUAACCUUGCUAGUUCUUCCACGAGGAGAGGGGACUAGGGCCACAUGACAAACUAUGGAGAGAGACACUUCUCCACUUUAGUCUCUCCAGAGUUACAGCAAGUUCUGCAUUUGGUGUGUUCGCAUGAGCUGUAUGAGAACUUGGUAAAGUGGUCAUGGAUGCGGGCAGGAACUUACACCAGAAGAAGAGUGUGUGAUCAUGUGUUUAUGGAGCUGUAACAGCCAUUACGCCAAAGGCGGAUGAAAGGAGAUGUCAGCUCACUGCUGAUCUGCAGCAUUUUUACAAAGAAGAAAACACAACAAACAAAUCCUGUUGCUUGUGUGUGUGUCACAGCCCUUCCUGCUCCCAGAGAAAUAUCACAGCUCCACAGCCAAACAUUGCAAGACAGACAGGAAUUGCAUGCAUCUAGCAUGAAAUUCUCCCUCUGUAUCAGAAAGACUGAUGGAGAUGCAGUAUUGGCUGUUUAAAAAUAUUAAAAGGUGGAGGGACUGAACCUUGACUGUGGGUGCUGGCUCAUGUAAACAUUUCUUGACAC